rfam:Gossypium arboreum cultivar AKA8401 contig_24483_1, whole genome shotgun sequence.
UGUUAAAAUUUUUUUAUCUAUUUUUAUUGUUAAAAAUUGGCGAGGUUGAUGGAAUAACCAGGUAAUUACACAUGGAAUUGCCAUAUGUUACUUUUAUUGACAUACAGUGACCAAUUUUUAAUAAUAGAAAUAUAUGAAAUUUUUAACA